GACGAACGCUGGCGGCGUGCUUAACACAUGCAAGUCGAACGCUGAAGCUUGGUGCUUGCACUGGGUGGAUGAGUGGCGAACGGGUGAGUAAUACGUGAGUAACCUGCCCUUGACUCUGGGAUAAGCCUGGGAAACUGGGUCUAAUACUGGAUACGACUUGUCACCGCAUGGUGGUUUUUGGAAAGGGUUUUACUGGUUUUGGAUGGGCUCACGGCCUAUCAGCUUGUUGGUGGGGUAAUGGCUCACCAAGGCGGCGACGGGUAGCCGGCCUGAGAGGGUGACCGGCCACACUGGGACUGAGACACGGCCCAGACUCCUACGGGAGGCAGCAGUGGGGAAUAUUGCACAAUGGGCGGAAGCCUGAUGCAGCGACGCCGCGUGAGGGAUGACGGCCUUCGGGUUGUAAACCUCUUUCAGCACGGAAGAAGCGAAAGUGACGGUACGUGCAGAGGAAGCGCCGGCUAACUACGUG
rnacentral:rRNA from 1 species